rnacentral:rRNA from 1 species
UUGAUCCUGGCUCAGGAUGAACGUUUGCGGCGUGCUUAACACAUGCAAGUUGAACGAAGCUCUUUGGCCUGAUUCCUUCGGGAAGAUGAUCAUUGAGACUGAGUGGCGAACGGGUGAGUAACACGUGAGCAACCCCCCCCUGACAGCGGAAUAACAACGGGAAACCGUUGCUAAUACCGCAUGAAAUCUCUGUAUGGCAUCAUACUAAGAUCAAAGAUUUAUCGGUCAGGGACGGGCUCGCGUCCGAUUAGGUAGUUGGUAAGGUAACGGCUCACCAAAGCAACGAUCAGUAGCCGGCCUGAGAGGGUGAACGGCCACACUGGAACUGAGACACGGUCCAGACUCCUACGGGAGGCAGCAGUGGGGAAUAUUGCACAAUGGGGGAAACCCUGAUGCAGCAACGCCGCGUGAGCGAUGAAGGUUUUCGAAUCGUAAAGCUCUGUCCUAAGGGAAGAUAAUGACGGUACCUUAGGAGGAAGCCCCGGCUAACUACGUGCCAGCAGCCGCGGUAACACGUAGGGGGCAAGCGUUAUCCGGAAUUAUUGGGCGUAAAGGGUGCGUAGGCGGCCCUAUGGGUCAGAGGUUAAAUGCUACGGCUUAACCGUAGCAUGCCUUUGAAACUAUAGGGCUUGAGUGCAGGAGAGGAGAGUGGAAUUCCUAGUGUAGCGGUGAAAUGCGUAGAUAUUAGGAGGAAUACCAGUGGCGAAGGCGACUCUCUGGACUGCAACUGACGCUAAGGCACGAAAGCGUGGGUAGCGAACAGGAUUAGAUACCCUGGUAGUCCACGCCGUAAACGAUGAGUGCUAGGUGUUGGGGGUCAAACCUCGGUGCCGCAGUUAACGCAUUAAGCACUCCGCCUGGGGAGUACGUUCGCAAGAAUAAAACUCAAAGGAAUUGACGGGGACCCGCACAAGCAGCGGAGCAUGUGGUUUAAUUCGAAGCAACGCGAAGAACCUUACCUGGAUUUGACAUCCCUCUGACCGUUUCUUAACCGAAAAAUUACCUUCGGGUACAGAGGAGACAGGUGGUGCAUGGUUGUCGUCAGCUCGUGUCGUGAGAUGUUGGGUUAAGUCCCGCAACGAGCGCAACCCUUGUCUUUAGUUGCCAACAGGUAAAGCUGAGCACUCUAAAGAGACUGCCAAGGUAAACUUGGAGGAAGGUGGGGAUGACGUCAAAUCAUCAUGCCCCUUAUGUUCAGGGCUACACACGUGCUACAAUGGCCGAUACAACGGGCAGCAAAGGAGCAAUCCGGAGCAAAUCCUACAAAAUCGGUCCCAGUUCGGAUUGUGGGCUGAAAUUCGCCCACAUGAAGUCGGAGUUGCUAGUAAUCGUGAAUCAGAAUGUCGCGGUGAAUGCGUUCCCGGGUCUUGUACUCACCGCCCGUCAA